GGGUGAUGAGCGAUGCACGAUGGCCGAGGGGGACAACAAGUUGGUUGGGGAGAGAAGAGGGCUCUAGACAGACUAGUGUUGGAAGGAGAGGGAGCCGGAAGAGGGAGAAAAUCGAGAGUGAGCGUGACACGCUCUCAACUUUCCUACUGGCGCUACUGGCGGAGAAUUAUUUCAUUGCUGCAUCCCUGAGAGUGGAAAUGAAAAAGAUUUUCGCCGUGACGAUAAAAAGGAGGCGAGACAAAGGAGAGAGGUGGCGAAGUGAACGAGCUGGCUGGAAAAAUAUCUUGGCCGCACAUACUCACUCGGGUGAUGGCUUACCUCGAGGAGGAGGGUCGCAAAAGGGUUGCGGCUUCGUGCAGGGGCCGGAAUGAAAACCGAGCGAGCCGGAAGACUGCUCGUUAUGCCGGCUUAAAGUGUUCGCGCGAAGCUCAUUAACGAUCGAAGAGAAGAAGGGAAAGUGGAAUAAUUAAUUUCGCCUCGUUGAAGGCCCGCGUUCAGCGUGUAUACGUGUUUUGGAAAAUUAGAGAAGACGAAUCAUUUUCCUUGUUAUCGAACGGGAUAGGAAUUGGCAGAAAUUUUAGAGAGGCGCAGUUGCGGUUGAUUAAUUUUCCAUUCGAGAAACGCGAUGAUCCGUUAACGGGGGGGCAAAUAUUUAUGGUAAUGCAGGGGAAGGGUUAGAGGCUUAUUGCAAAGUAAACCUGGAGACAUUCGUGACUGGAAUUGGGGGAGGAUAAAGCUGUUAUCAAUGACUCCAUCUUCUUUCUCUUGAGACACGUUUUUACCUCCCCCUCGCGAUCGUGACUCGGUUAAAUUUCCCGCUUAAUCUCGAGGAAUAAAGAAGAACGGAACUGGAUCGAUCAGAAAUUUCGAAGCGGGGACGAUAAACGAACUGGAUGGAAUGAUAAAAAAAAGGAAGGAGGAGAAACGUCGUCUGGAAAGGGGCGUCGAAACGGAGAUUUUGUUCUUUUUUUAAGCACAGGUUUAUUGGUGACUAGCUAAAACUUAACUUCUUUCUGCGCCCGGCCCACUUUACGAUCUAAUCCACUUUGCGUUAAGUAGAGAGUUUCAGCCGGAUGUCCGUCCGAUUCGUUUCCUAUCUCUUUCGUCUUCCAAUCGGUUUAAAUCGGUCUAAUGGGCGUUUCGCAGCUUUGGAUCAACCGGCCGAUAAUCGCGAAGAAGAAGAAGAUUAUCUCUCCUCCUUAUCUUUCUUUUAUUCUAAAAUUAUUUUCGAACCGUUCAACCUUUACCUUAUAUCGCCAUUUCGAUAUUGAUAUCUUUCGUGUCGGAGAAAGGGAUGGAAGAGACGAGAGGAAACCUCCGGCCUGAUAAUUUGCUCGCUGUUAAGUAAUUUCACGGUUGACGAUACCAAUCCUUCUUCUCCUUCCCUCUUCUUCCCUCUUUCUCUUCUUCUCUUUUUCCUCGCUGUUUCCACUUUUAAUUAACGGACCCCUCACGCACGUGAAUUAACGUACGUCUAACCUAUCCUCGGAUUUCUGCCCCCUCUCCUCUCUUCCUCUCAAGAGGAACGAGAUUUUCAUCCUCGACUGGGUGAAAAGUAUUUCGUUAGGAGAAACUUUUCAAAGGAAAAUUAUUCUUCUUCUUUUAAGACGAGAGGGGAGGAAUUAUUUUUUCUAACGCGAGCAUAAAUUAUAUAACGCGUGUUGGCGCCGUCGUCGAUAAUUGCAGUCAUCCGAUUGCUUUUUUCCCCUGUAUACUUUACAACGCCGGUUAACGAGCCCUGGAUUCGCGCACAACAACGCCGGGCCACUCCUCUUCCUUCUCUCGAUCGUGCAAAUCGCGGGGAGAGGAAAACGGGAGAAGAAAAAGAAAAAGAAGAUCUUACGGUUUUGCUUCGCCCGCCUUAACGUGCUCCCCGAUGUUCGGCCCAGCUUUUUUCCGACGACGACGACGCGAGGAAUCGGUUACCGAGUUUUUACGAAUCAGCGGGGGAGGAGGAACGAACCGGCUCAGACGAUUACGGGCGAAAUAUUCGCGAGAAGUGAAUAUUCGCGUGCGCGCGUCUAUUCGCCAUUUGUCAAGAGGUGGAUAUCCUCCGCUUUAAAGGAAAAGUUUCAGGCGCACCCGUCUCUUUGCCGACGAUCUUUCGAUGCCUUGGCUCCAACAUCGAGGCGGAAAUGGAUUACGAGGAGUGAAGCGUCGUCGAAUCUGCUCUUCUCCUUUCUCUCUCUCUCUCUCGUCACCUCGCGUCUUCUUAAAGUUUCUCCCACUGUCGCUUUAAAAGCGUCGGAUAAGAAGAAAAGCUUCGGUAUUAUGGUAAUCCGGUAUGGCUUGUAGGGAGGGGAGUUUUUAUUUUUUCCAAAGUACCUUUGAUUCUCUUCGAGAGAAAGAAAACGCUCCCGUAUAUGCCGAAAAUUUGCUAAUUAAACGAAAAGCUUAUCAAAUUUCUCGAAACUCGAAACUCGAGCCGGUGAGAUUUCGUUUGCAGCGAAUAACGGUCGAGCGAAUGUGAAGUUGAGGAAAUCUUGCCGACUAGACACGAUCCAAAGGAGGAAAUCGGGGUAAAGUAAUUUCAGAGCGAGUUGGUUAAGCGUCUGAAUCUUUCCCUCCCCUCCCACCUCGGUUUUCCUCCAACAGGUGCAGUUUCUCUAUGAAGAUUCCUUUCGCGAGGAGAGAUUAAAUAGCAUUAAGAAAAAAAAAGAAGAAGAAGAAGAAGAAGGAAAAGGAAAGGAAGAAAAAAAAGCAAGUUUUCAAAGCGAGCGACUCGAUUCCCCUCGCGGUUAAAUUCGGAUAGCGUACGUGCGUUAAAACGAAUCACGUUACAGAGAUGGUUUACGCGGCGUGAGUGGGAAAGAGAGAGGAAAGGAGCGAGAGUGAGAGAGAGAGGCGGCGCGCGGAGCCAACCGAAAAUCCGACGGAGAUAACGUCGGUGGUCGAGAGUUGUUGGUGGAGGGGGUAAAAAACCGGUGGAAAUACUCCGUCUAAUCCGAGUACGCGCGUGUUUCACUGGCGAGUGUGCAGUAAACGUGGAGGCGCGCAAUUAAUUAGUCGUAGCAACGUUGCGUUACAAACGUGAAUCGUUGGUUCGUUCCCUCGUUCGUGAUUCGAAUUAAUUUCAAUUAACCGAGAUACGAAACGAAGAAAAUAUUUAUCGGCCGGGAUAUAUCGAUUCGCGAUUAUCUCGCGUUAAUUUUUCGCCGCGAGUUUUUGAAUCUUCUAUCGAUAAGAUUCUCGAAAAUCCGUACAAUUAUGUAGUAAUAUCGGGCCUGAAUGUUUUCCUCGUCGUCGGCGAGGCCGAAAACCGAGCAGUUUAAGCGAAACAAGGAAGAAAGAUAAAUAAACUCCUCCCCUCCUCUCCUGUCCCGCUAAAGCGAGGAUGUACGAGGACCGAUGAAAAACGGGAUUUCGAGUCGCGCGUGCUCGUAACGGAUAAGAUAGAAACGUGGUCAUCUCGAAACGAUUUCGAUGAAAGCGAUUUCGAUCGGGCUUUUUGCUCGGCUUCCUUUAUAAAAGGGACAAGUUCGCGGGACAGUUUUUGCGGCCGCUAAACACCGUUCAAUCGUCAAAGCGAGCGUAACGGAAACAAAGAACCGCGCAAUCUGUCCGUUUCAAACGCCUUUCGGAUAUCUCGCUAAAUUGACGAAGGGGGAGGGAGAGAGAGAGGGGGAAGAACCUCGCAGCUGUUACGCUCCACGGUUUUUUCCCCUCCCCGCUUUUCUCGAUUUAGGAACACUAGAAGAUUGCUUUUAGAAGUUAAUUACCGUUGCACGAAUACGACAAUGCCUCCGUGAUAAAUUAAUCUCGCUGAAUCUGUCAUCGAUUGUAAAAGGGACGGAAUGGAAACAAAGAGAUCGCGAAAUAAUAAUCCGUUUCGCUUUUUGGAUCUUUAAAUUGAGAGGGAUGUUUACUCUUUUUCUUCGAUUUAACAGAAAAGAGUAUUUUAUAGGUUAAUUGAUCCCACCCCACGAAUUUUUAUUAGUUAGUUACGGGUAAAAAUUUAAUAGUCGAAGUCACGAAUAAAGUUACUUUCAAAAGUUUUCUGAUUCAAAAACUGUAGCUAUAUGGAAUAAAGCAACUUAUUACUCGAGAUUUUUAACCGGUUAUUUUUUCUUCAACUCUGAUCUCUGUGUGCACAGCGUCGAUGAAUCGUCGUUGAUUACAGUUCCUUACGUAGGGAUUGGAUUCACGCGGACCCUUCAUUCGAAAACGACGAGCUGUAAAUUUUACGAGCGAGGAUAUUUCCACGACUGUGACGAGCGAAGGAAAUUCUAGAAAUCAUCGGGCGGAGAUUAUAGGCGCGUCCCCGGCCACGAUUUAUCGCCACAUUGUUAACCGCCGAAUUUAUAAGAGCAGCCCGCCACUGUCCCGACUGACCCGGCUGGAAAAUCGAUACUGCAUGCUCGGGCUAAAAGUAGGCUCGCCGUUCCAAAAUAAAAAUCCUCUCUCUCUCUUUCUCUCUCUCUCUCGUAGAUUAUCGAUACCUUAAUCGCUAGCUCAACCGCGAGAAAGCGGAAUCGUCGAAUUCGUCGAAAUUAUUCGCUGAUCCAGAACUUUGUAUCCUCCGCGAUGGUGUGUUAAACGUAUUUUAAUUCGAUUCGAAACCGAUUCCAUCCGAAAUCCUUGAAAGUACAAAAGGGAAUUAUCGGCUGCUUUCGAAUUAAUAAGAUUGAUCUCGAGCGACGUAGAAAGAGUUUGGAACGCGUCGGUCGAGUGACGAACGAAACGGGAUAAUUCAGGAGAGGGGAGAAGGAAGAGGAGGAGGACAAGGAGAAAGUGGAGGGGGAAGAGCACACAUCGAUGCGCGAUCACCGCGCGCUCUAUAAUUUAUCGCGGCGUUAACCGUCCAAGUUUCGAGAGAGCGUGUAAUCUCGUCUGGUCGAGCAGAGGAAUGGCUGCUUGUUGCGAUAAUCUCUGCGCGCGUUAUCCCGCGAGCCGGCUCUUGCUCUAAUUGCUGGCAAUAAAGAAAGAGGAGCGAACGAUACGAAGGGUGGGGGAGGAGGAAUUUGUUGAAGAUGUUUUCCUCGAUUCGGCUCGUAAAUACAUCGUGUUCCCUCUCCGGACAGCCGAAAUGGCUUAUUUUUCUUGUUAUUACCCGACUUAUACCCGAUCGUAUCGUAUCGUCCCACAUCGUUCCAUAUAUCCAUCGAAUAAACAUUUUGAAUAAACCUCGUUACUUUACAACAAUCUGCGAUCGCGUAACGAUUUAACAACUGUACGUAUCGAUUCUUAGAUCCUUUUCCUUCUUUUGUAAAUUGUACAAAAUUUAUCCGCGAGGUUAUCGUAGAUAAUAUAUCCACCGCUGGAGAAUUUUUUGGGGCAGUCGCGAGGCGCGAUAAGCAGGAUAAUCCUGCGGCGCCGCGGGUGGGCCGACUAUUUUACGAGAAUUGAGAAAUAAGGCGAGAGUUUCGGUGUACGAAUUUAUUACCUCCACACUGCUAUCUCGCCCUCGAUAAAAAUUGGAAAAUCGGGUCGGGUGAAGCGCGGCAAGCGCGUCUUCUCCUCGAUCGUGUCUAAGAAGAAGUCAGGUGUUGCGCCUGAUAAAUCGAUAUAUCGAUCUUUGCAUCCUCGAUCAACUCGGGAUAUUUGCACUUCUUUUAUCCAUCGAUAAUUCGUUGAAGGGGAAAAAAAAGAUGAAUAAUCUUCAUCCACGAGUCGAUGGAAGAUUGGAUUGGGAGGUAGAAUCGAUGAACGUUGAAACAACGUUAUCCGCCUCGAAGCGGAGAGAUGAUGAUGGAGGAUGCGUGGGUUGAAAAAGCGCGUAUAAAUGAGCGAAUGGUUGAAGACUACUCGUUGUAUCCGGCGGCGCCCACCAUGUUAUUGAAUUUGAAAUUUAUGACUUUAAUAGAGACUAAGUCGGCGCGUUCAUAAUUCAAGUCAGGUUGCGAGUCCUGCGCCCAGUAACUGCCGGCAAUACUCCUUCUUUCUAGCUUGGCUGACAACCCUUUCCGGCCUCCCUCCGCGAUACCCCUCUUCCCUUUAUCCCCGCUCCUCGAACCUUCACCAGAUAUCUCGUCGAGCACCAAGCAUCCCAAUGAUUUAAGACGCGUUCCAAUUCUCGGCGAACACUUCCAUCGGAAAAAUAUGUGAAAGUUUCCCUCUCUCGACGAAAGAUUUUCUUUUCUUCGAAUCGGCAAACGAGCCCUCGCGAAUUCUUAAACGUCCUCACCUAUAUUCAUCUUUAUAGACCUCCCCCCUCUUCGAUAUUUCCAGAAAAAUUCCAAGCAAUUUCACACGAAAUUUCCCCUUCCUCGAAAAAAAGAAAUAAAAAUCAUAGCUAUAUACGAAAGGGAGGAGCGCAAGUUGAUCGUUAAUGAAAGCGCAAACAUCCAGCGAUUAUCUUCAUGCAUAUUCCGUGGAAGGCGUAUUAACGACGUGGGAAAAUUCGCGUUCGAAUACACACACACGUAUAUACAUAUAUAUAUAUAAUGGUUCGAUGUCUUGGAGAUUGGAGAUUUUCGCAAGGCCACGACGAGGAGGAGCGAAGGUAACUGGAUUAUCAUCCCUGGUGUAAUUUCGGUGCCGCGGUUACCUUCAUUAUCUCCAUUGUUGUCAGCUUAUCCGAUCGCGGGGAAAGGGAAGGGCGCCGUCCGCUUUCACCCCGAUAGACGUCUGUCAACGCUUCCUCGACCUAUCGUCGUCGUCUGCGUAUCACGAUGACGUAAUUGCGCGGCAAAGCGUCGCGCUAACUAAACCGUUCCCGUUCGUGUAACGAGAGGGCCCGAAUAUACGCGUCGCGCACUUCACGAUUCAUCGUGGAUCCGACCUCCGUUCGAUCCAACGUCCAUAAAGCGGUAAUUAUCCCCGACACGUGAAUCCACGCUUAAAUUUCCAUUAUCGUCCGGGCUUUUUUUUUCCUUUCUUUCCUUUUUUCUUUUUCUCUCGCCAUCUUUAUGCUCCCCUCCUUCACUGUCGAAUCCCUUUAUCGAACGGCUCGUAACGGUGUUCGCGACUAAUCUCGUCGUCUCGUCGUUCUUGCGCCGGGAUUUUUACAUUCUCACGCUGGAACUCGAUGGAUGGCUUUACAUUUCGCAAAUAUUUUUCCACGUUUGCUCGUGAUAACUUUAAUUCUCUCGCGAUAAUCGUCCAGAUAUGAGAUCUAUCGCCUCUCUCUUCUUAAUCGUGGAAAAUAUUUUUUCUCCUCGUUUGAAAAGGAUAAUAUUUUCUUUUUUUUUUUUACCUAUCGUUGUUGGUAGUUAAAAUGCGUGAUGCACGAUAUUGAUAUUUAUUUCGUUCAUCGAGAUUAGCGGGAAUGGCGAGAACUUAUGGACACGAAUAAAUAUAUAUUAUCUAAUGGAGCUAUUAUCGUUAAAUUCAUAAACAAUUGUGUAUUAUUAUUGACUGGGCAGUGAAAACAGUAAAUAAAAAUGUACGGGUUUAGCUGAACGAAUAUAUUUGAUUGUGCGUAUCUAUUAAAUUAUAAUAAUAAAACCAGAAAUAAAAUUUCAGUGAACUUUAAAUUC